UACAGAGGUCUCAAGCGUUGUUCGGAUUCAUUGGGCGUAAAGGGCUCGUAGGCGGCCAACUAAGUCAGACGUGAAAUCCCUCAGCUUAACUGGGGAACUGCGUCUGAUACUGGAUGGCUUGGAUCCGGGAGAGGGAUGCGGAAUUCCAGGUGUAGCGGUGAAAUGCGUAGAUAUCUGGAGGAACACCGGUGGCGAAGGCGGCAUCCUGGACCGGUAUUGACGCUGAGGAGCGAAAGCCAGGGGAGCAAACGGG
rnacentral:rRNA from 1 species